CUCUCUCUCUCUGAAUAAAUUAUAAAAACUCCUAUGAGAUCAGUGAUAAAUUACAAAAACCAUAAUUUUUUCUUAUUUAAAGAUGAUUAAAUAUAUUAAUUGAAUGACAACAUUACAUUUUUUUUUUAGCAAAGUAUCAAACAAAAAUACAAGUGGCUCUUCUACCAACCAAAUCUUCGUGACGGAGAAUUCAUGCUUUGCUAUAUUAUUGGCAGCUUC
rnacentral:lncRNA from 1 species